rnacentral:rRNA from 1 species
CCUACGGGAGGCAGCAGUGGGGAAUAUUGCGCAAUGGGCGAAAGCCUGACGCAGCGACGCCGCGUGAGGGAUGAAGGUCUUCGGAUCGUAAACCUCUGUUAGCAGGGAAGAACGGUCACUGUGCUAAUCAGCAGUGAAUUGACGGUACCUGCAAAGGAAGCACCGGCUAACUCCGUGCCAGCAGCCGCGUUAAUACGUAGGGUGCGAGCGUUAAUCGGAAUUACUGGGCGGAAAGCGCGCGUAGGCGGUAUGUCAAGUCAAGGGUGAAAUCCCCGCGCUCAACGUGUGAACUGCCUUUGAAACUGGCAAACUUGAGUGUGUGAGAGGAUAGUGGAAUUCCAGGUGUAGGAGUGAAAUCCGUAGAUAUCUGGAGGAACAUCAGUGGCGAAGGCGACUAUCUGGCACAUAACUGACGCUGAGGAGCGAAAGCGUGGGUAGCAAACAGGAUUAGAUACCCUAGUAGUC